GUGCUACUGAUUUUUUUGCAAAGUCCUCUUGGUAUGAUGUUUCUCAGGGAAGUUGAUUGAAAAGUUUUAUAGGCUGACAAUGGACUGAAAGGGAUUAUCAUUUACAAGUGACUAAGGGCAAUAUGGCUGAUCAGAUCACAUUUGAGUGUCUCAACUAUUUAGAGAGGAUUCUGAUAUUUUCAGCAAUUGGUUGCAUCUUCAGAUCUGUGACUGCUUUCUUUCUUAUAUUUUAGAAACAAAAAAAUAUGCAUUUGUAUAAGAAACAAUUAUGGUGAUGUGGAAAUUCCUUCUUUGGAAUUUACUUUUUCUUGUAUGCUAGGAUCUGCUUAUUUUCCUUAGAACUGGAAAGAAAAUAUACAAGCCUAAAACAUGGUGAAGCAUCUUGCCUUACCCAUAGCAUCUCUGUGUCAGCUUGUUCUUCUGAUCUGCAGUUGGAACCUACCAGCAACUCGGUAUGGCCAAGCAGCUGCAGAAAAUACUCAUUUCUGGAUUACUCAUCUGAGAGCGUCUGCCUUCUCUUAUACCUGACUGUUUGUUCCAGCUCCUAUACCUGAUUACCCACAACUCCCACUUUCCCUGGCCCUCCCUUCCCUUAUAUUCUUCAAACGUAUCCCCCUCUAAAAUAAGGCCAUUUGAAACAUUUUGUAGUGACAGAGGCAGCUGAGUUAACCUGUGUAAUGUAAGACACAUAGGUAGCCCCAGAAAUGCCAAGGUAGUGAAAAGAAUUCAGAAAGUUUGUUUGGAAGGCCAGAACACAAGAAACUUACAAAAUACCUAACAGUGUGGUUUACACACCGCCUGAGGGAGAAAAAGGCCAGUUCCCUCCCUCUCAGGGCCUCUUUAUCCUCUCUGUUUCUCCCCCGCCUUCCCAAGGCCUCUGUGCAUGUCUGUUAGGGCUAUUUCUCUCCAGCAUAGGAGAGAGAGAGAGAUAACAUAGGUCUCUCUGUAACCCCCUCUGGACUGCAGAAGGGGAAAAAAAAAAUCUAACCCUCUUGAGAAGGCACUUUGCAGUCUUCCUAAGAGAAAACAAGAAUUUCCAGCUUUCCUGUUACAAAUGCUUCCAAAAGCAAACUACCUCUACAAUCUUAAUUUCUCAAGGAAUCUGACUCUCUCUUACAUUUCGCCAUGUUCCUUUUUUUCUGGUUUUCAUUUUUCAUAAGGACUUCAGGAUAAAGACUGUAUUAUUUUAAUGUUUGCAAAUUAUCUAGGAUAUCAUGUUAUAGUCCACAUUUUUGUCAGCCUUAAAAAGAGAGAAAUCUUUCAGACACUACAAUUCACCACCAUUGUCAGUGGCUACUGACACAUGGGAUAAUACACACACAAAAAUGCAGAAGAGUGGAAUGUGUCCCUUAUUUUUUGUCAGUUUUUCAUCUGGGUUGUAAUUCCAUUCAAAACUACAUAUUAAAAAUGUCAUCAUAUCUUCAUUAAUUAGUGUUAGCCAGGGUAGCACUUCAAUGUUUCAUAUACUGUCUUAUUUAGUUGGCUGUAUUUUAUACCCUAACAUCCACUCAAGGCACUGCAGAGUAUC
rnacentral:lncRNA from 1 species